rnacentral:rRNA from 1 species
CCCUUAGAUGCCCUGGGCCGCACGCGCGUUACACUGAUGCAUUCAACGAGCUUAUAACCUUGGCCGAGAGGCCUGGGCAAUCUUGUUAACGUGCAUCGUGAUAGGGAUAGAUUAUUGAAAUUAUUAAUCUUGAACGAGGAAUUCCUAGUAAACGCAGAUCAUCAAUCUACAUUGAUUACGUCCCUGCCCUUUGUACACACCGCCCGUCGCACCUACCGAUUGGAUGGUCCGGUGAAGCCUCGGGAUUGUGGUUCUUGCCGCUUUAUUGUGGCGUGACCGCGAGAACUUGUCUAAACCUUAUCAUCUAGAGGAAGGUGAAGUCGUAACA